AUUCUGCCUCUCCCUCAAGCCAUACUGAAAAAUCCACUAGAUUGUAAUGAGAGGUCGGGGAAACUGAGCGGGCAUGUCUUGCAAAAUUUGAGACUAGGUCUACGGGAAGUUUAUUUAAUAAUCUCUGGACAUGGGAGGCACAUGCUAAUUCUGCUGCACUUUCUGCUGAAUUGAGUGAUUGCAGCAGCCCUACUAAUGACCUAACUUUGACUGCAAAGUUUUGGAAUCCUUCGGCAUCUCCACGGGCCACUUUGGGGAGGUUGAGUAUGGUCUGGAUCUCCUUUAAAGCCAGUUGAUGUGGUUGACCAUAUUGUCGUUCCAGAGCUGCCAUUGCUGCUGUAAAGGGCUGUGGGUGGUGAGCAUAAGACAGGGCAAUAUGUCUAGCUGAAGGGAGGUGAAGAUGAUCCAAAAGGAUAUGGAACUUAAAUAAUUCAGGUUCUUCUACAGGAAGAAGGUUUUUCAAGGCCAUCUUUAACAUUAAGAAUUCCUGGGGGUCAUUUUGGGUGAAAUAAGGGAAUGAUGGACCUUCAACACGCGAAGUGUAUCGGAUUUGUUGUGCAGAGGCCAUAGGUAUGGAGUAGCUUGAGUUGAGGGGGGCUCCUAGAGCUUGUGGGGCACCAGUGAUUGGCGCUGGCUGGGGUGCAAGAUAUUGGGUAUGAAGCUGCUGCACAGGUUGAGGG